UUAACACAUGCAAGUCGAACGAUGAAGCCAGCUUGCUGGUGGAUUAGUGGCGAACGGGUGAGUAACACGUGGGUGAUCUGCCCCAAACUUUGGGAUAAGCCUGGGAAACUGGGUCUAAUACCGAAUAUGACCACUGGAUGCAUGUCUGGUGUUGGAAAGCUCCGGCGGUUUGGGAUGGGCCCGCGGCCUAUCAGCUUGUUGGUGGGGUAAUGGCCUACCAAGGCGACGACGGGUAGCCGGCCUGAGAGGGCGACCGGCCACACUGGGACUGAGACACGGCCCAGACUCCUACGGGAGGCAGCAGUGGGGAAUAUUGCACAAUGGGCGCAAGCCUGAUGCAGCGACGCCGCGUGAGGGAUGACGGCCUUCGGGUUGUAAACCUCUUUCACCAGGGACGAAGCGAAAGUGACGGUACCUGGAGAAGAAGCACCGGCCAACUACGUGCCAGCAGCCGCGGUAAUACGUAGGGUGCGAGCGUUGUCCGGAAUUACUGGGCGUAAAGAGUUCGUAGGCGGUUUGUCGCGUCGUUCGUGAAAACUUGGGGCUUAACUCCCAAGCGUGCGGGCGAUACGGGCAGACUUGAGUACUAUCAGGGGAGACUGGAUUCCUG
rnacentral:rRNA from 1 species